GCCAGACUGAUUUCCAUGCCGCAACCCCUCCGUAAUCUUAUCGUGACGGCGGCGACGGCGGCGACCACGAGGAACAACGUCGCUGCAUCGGCUGCGCCCAGUGCAUCCGCGCCUCCGUCCGCCGCUUCCCAUGGGUGGAGGGCGUGGCCAUGGAGGUGGACAGGCGAGCUGCCACCCAAGAUCUUGCCCUUGUCAUUCUCAAUCUGGCAGCCCUGGGCUCUUCCAUGAUGCCAGACUUGCUGGUACAUCUCGCCUGCUUCAGUUUACCCAUAGUGGUUUAUUUUCCAUUGUUCAGGUUGUGGAUAAAGAGAAGAGGAAGCAAGUAACGGAGGAGAUGGGCGGUGCAAUGAGAGCAAGAGAUUCAAAGCAAGACAUGGACAUACUUGCCGCUUUUAGAAGAGAUGCGGACCAUGAGGAUUUAUGUUAAACGGAUCGGAGAGGUCGAUGGAGAUGUUGAAGCGGUUACAGGAGGAAAAAGUAGUGGUAGAACUAGAUGAAGAAGACGAAGUACUCAUCAAAUCAAUAACUUUUAGAAACUCGAAAGAUUAUGUUAAACGGAUCAAAAAGGUCGACGACGACGAUGAAGAUUUUGCUAUACCAGGACAGUCAAGUGUCACAUCAAAGGUUCUAGGCGAGGUUUGUGCUCCGGAAGGGAUCCAGCCUACGCAUCGAGGUGCAGCCAACCGGCGACAUGGUCAUGUGCGCCACAGCCAAGGGGUGCAGGUGCAUGACUCUGCUUCUCUCUCUGCCUACACGUUUGUUCCCUGUACCAUAGUUUAGAUAGUGUUCAGUUGAGCUAAUUUGAGGGGAGUUAUUGUGAUGAGGGAAGGUUCGGCCGGUGCUAGCUGGGCUACAUCAUUUUUGUGGGGGUUUUGUGGUCUGUGUUAUAUACAUUAAAAAAUCACCCUUCUAGAAAUUAACCGUGGCAUACUGUUUUCUCCCUAGGUGUCCACUGAUCUUCUGCACGAGAGGCAUAGUAGUUGUACACCAUCUUCGGUAGCUUCUCCUUAGUGAGCUUCUCCUACUUGGGCACAUUUUUUAUCAGCUCCGUACCCCUGCUUGAAUAGUUCAUUGACAUUUCACACUUCAUGUGUCUAUAAGCAGUGCAAGCAGCAGUAAAAUAAAUCCUCCAUUUUUUUCUUUCCAAAGAUCCACGUUUCAAAAUGAACUGAACAUAUCCCGCAUAGCAGUCAAAAUGAACUAUCUUGUCAUAGGUUUUGCUUGUGUAUACCACUCGUAGUUUAGAGUAUUUGCUGCAAUCAUUGUGAGCUGGUUUGCCUUUUUGUUGAAAAAUUGUUUGAAACUCCUUGUUACUCCUAUCAACUCUCAAAGAGUUAGUGAUAGACAAGAUUAUAUCUCAUGUAUUUGAACAAUGGAUAGAGGGUCUAUUCAUAUAUGUGCUAAUUUGUUUUUGUAUCACUCUUACAUCAAUGUUUUUACAUCAAAAUGAACCACACUAUUCUUAUAUAGGAAAUCAGCAACACCUUGAUUUUUCUUAAGGAAACCACAAUAUAUAUUUAUUGUAACAAGGAAAACUAAUUAAACAAGGAGAUAAGAAUAGAAACAAACUAGGAGGUUGAUCUAUCCGGCAUAAUGGAGAUUGUUGAUUUUAUUGCACGAGGAUAUGGUCCAAAAGUGUGUGGACAAAUUACAGGAUGUUAUUGCACUCAAGUCCAAGAUUGUAUAAAUUCAGCAUAUACAAGUUUAAUAUACUGAGAGAAAAGAUAUUCCUUCAAUUAUGGUAAACUUAGAGAACAAAUUGGUCUCUCUUUUCUGCAUCUUCCCCUUUGGAUUUAUAAUACCUCAUCCUUGUACAUUUUCAUGAAAUGAGUUCUACAAUUUUGAAUGAACAUUCCUUGUCCAUUUUGAGGUAUCUAAUUCAAUUUUAUAUAUAC